AGAGUUUGAUCCUGGCUCAGGACGAACGCUGGCGGCGUGCUUAACACAUGCAAGUCGAACGGAAAGGCCCUUUCGGGGGUACUCGAGUGGCGGACGGGUGAGUAACACGUGGGUGAUCUGCCCUGCACUUCGGGAUAAGCUUGGGAAACUGGGUCUAAUACCGGAUAGGACCAUGCCAUGCAUGUGGUGUGGUGGAAAGCUUUUGCGGUGUGGGAUGGGCCCGCGGCCUAUCAGCUUGUUGGUGGGGUGAUGGCCUACCAAGGCGACGACGGGUAGCCGGCCUGAGAGGGUGACCGGCCACACUGGGACUGAGAUACGGCCCAGACUCCUACGGGAGGCAGCAGUGGGGAAUAUUGCACAAUGGGCGCAAGCCUGAUGCAGCGACGCCGCGUGAGGGAUGACGGCCUUCGGGUUGUAAACCUCUUUCAGCACAGACGAAGCGCAAGUGACGGUAUGUGCAGAAGAAGGACCGGCCAACUACGUGCCAGCAGCCGCGGUAAUACGUAGGGUCCGAGCGUUGUCCGGAAUUACUGGGCGUAAAGAGCUCGUAGGUGGUUUGUCGCGUUGUUCGUGAAAACUCACAGCUUAACUGUGGGCGUGCGGGCGAUACGGGCAGACUUGAGUACUGCAGGGGAGACUGGAAUUCCUGGUGUAGCGGUGGAAUGCGCAGAUAUCAGGAGGAACACCGGUGGCGAAGGCGGGUCUCUGGGCAGUAACUGACGCUGAGGAGCGAAAGCGUGGGGAGCGAACAGGAUUAGAUACCCUGGUAGUCC
rnacentral:rRNA from 1 species